AGUGCAAAUCAACAUCCGGUAGAAAACCACGCUAUGGCAGACAGAAGAAAUGUAAAUAUUUGAGCCCUGGCUGCCAGUCCCGUCUACUGUGGCUGCUGAUGGCAUUCGCAGCCAACCUUAACAGCAUUUACAGUCGUUCUCUCAUUGAAAACAAUGACAUCCAAUUUGCCGUCUAUCGUUUUCCUCGUGCAAUCUAAACUCAGAGACCUGAGCCCUUGGACCAUGCCUCAGGACUAUCUGACAUGAUGACUACUUGCUGUCCCCAGUCCACCUGGCCGUGCUGCUGCUCCAGUUUCAACUGUUCUGCCUUAUUAUUAUUAUUGGACCAUGCUGGUCAUUUAUGAACAUUUGAACAUCUUGGCCAUGUUCAGUUAUAAUCUCCACCCGGCACAGCCAGAAGAGGACUGGCCACCCCACAUAGCCUGGUUCAUCUCUAGGUUUCUUCCUAGGUUUUGGCCUUUCUAGGGAGUUUUUCCUAGCCACCGUGCUUCUACACCUGCAUUGCUUGCUGUUUGGGGUUUUAGGCUGGGUUUCUGUACAGCACUUUGAGAUAUCAGCUGAUGUACGAAGGGCUAUAUAAAUACAUUUGAUUUGAUUUUAUCUAAUGAGUUUUUAUUUGUUUUGGUGGAUAGGUCUGGUCCCUAGUGGGCUUGUGAUAACAGCACUAUAUUGCCGGUGUCUAUGAGAUGAGUCAUCAACAGGACCUGGGCAUUCUCCUCGUCUAACUCUCUCACACUUCUACAGUUGUGCCCUCUUAAUUAUAUCACUCUGUUUUCACAGAGAAUUGUCCUGUGCCGCAGGGAAUGCAAACUUGUAGAGUAUUCGCCAUCUCACUCUGUCCACCUCUGUCUGUCUCCAUCCCUUUCUCUUUGAUUCUUUACCCUCCUUCACCAGGUCUCUCUCAGGCCAGCUGGCAGAGGAACAUAAAGAGGAGUAGCUUUAGGAGGAGAGAGACCUUGCUGAGGCCAGCUGAGGAGGAGGAGGUGGGUGGGUUUGUCUUGGCUCUAUACAUCUGCCUUGUAACAGAGAGCUUUACAGUUUCCUGUCCACUUUUAAUCCCCCUUUAUUGUUAUGCGGAGCUACUGUAAGUGGGAAGUUCCCUUGGAGCGAUAAUCUAAUCAAAGUGCUCAGUGUUUUAGUAGUCCGAUUUUUGACAUAGCCUUGAGCUGUUGAUGACCAGCUGGCAAAUGUUAACAACACACAGAUAUGAUCUUUAAUAUAUCUGGUCUUGAUUAUCUUUCCACAGCUCAACACAAGAACACGUAAACAUGUUGUUAACAUGACUCACCUCUCUAAAUAGGGUGGACCGGUCACACUUUCUGACACUAUACAUACAAUAAUUAAAAUGGGCUCUUUUUAUAGAAAUAGAGCAGGCCUUUCGUUAAAUAGCAGAAAACAAAUCAUUCAGUCGACAUUCAUUCCCGGCUUUAGGCUGUGGCAAUAUCGUCUAUAUGGAUGCGGCUGCAUAUAUAUCCAUCCAUAUAUUGAAGACAUUGGACACCGUUUAUCAUAGCACACUACACUUUAUUACGGGCGAUUGGUUCAGUACACAUCAUUGCAUUCUGUAUCAGAAAGUAGGCUGGCCCUGUCUUAAGUUUUGUAGAUCAAUGCACCAGCUCUCUUUUCGUUUAUUAAGCACACCUGUGCAAACAUCUGCCAUACCUUACUUACUUCAUUGUUAAAUUGCAGAAAUACUCUCGAGGUUCUGUUGAUCUCUAUGGAAUUAGGUAAAUCUGCAUUGAGUUUUUUGUGCCCCCUGUAUGGAAUGAUCUGCAGAGCUCUCUGCACCUUGACGCUCUGGUGUGUCUAUUGCAGUUCAACUUAAUGGAGGACCUCAUUGUUGAGAAAUGUUUCUACUUCUUAAAUUGCUUGUAGUAUUGUAUGUUUGAAUGUUGUACAUUUUAUAAAUUGCUGUACUCCCUUGGGAAAGAGGCCUUGGUCUCAAUGUGACUCCCUGCUAAAAUGAAGGUUAAAUAAAAGGAUGCAUGUCUGUGAUGAACUGACAUACAUUAUAGAUGUGAGCAGUUUGUGCGGGAGGGGAACGGGGAGGUGUUCAAUAACAUUCCAAAUGAUGUUAAUCAAGUUAUAGUGUGC
ensembl:lncRNA